rnacentral:rRNA from 1 species
AAGACCUUUGCACUUUUGGAGCGGCCGAUGUCUGAUUAGCUAGUUGGUGGGGUAAUGGCCUACCAAAGCUUCGAUCAGUAGCUGGUCUGAGAGGACGGCCAGCCACACUGGGACUGAGACACGGCCCAGACUCCUACGGGAGGCAGCAGUGGGGAAUUUUGAACAAUGGGCGCAAGCCUGAUCCAGCCAUGCCGCGUGAGUGAAGAAGGCCUUCGGGUUGUAAAGCUCUUUCAGCCGGGAAGAAAAGGUUGCGACUAAUAAUCGCAAUCCAUGACGGUACCGAAAGAAGAAGCACCGGCUAACUACGUGCCAGCAGCCGCGGUAAUACGUAGGGUGCGAGCGUUAAUCGGAAUUACUGGGCGUAAAGGGUGCGCAGGCGGUUUUGUAAGUCAGAUGUGAAAUCCCCGGGCUUAACCUGGGAACU